UGACACCACUUGGCCGCCAUCCCUUCCAUCGCGGCUCCCCCCUGUCAAAAGGAGGGGUCGCGUGUAGGAGGCUCGCGCCGGCGGACUAUGCGUGUUCCGGAGACUAAUCUCUCCGAGUACAUCGAUACGCGUGAACGAAACUUCUAUUGCCUUGCUGCACAGAGCUGUUGACGGCGUUGCUUCGGCGGCGACUCUCGGCUCGCUAACGUGUUCCUAGAACCGCUUUGGAGUGUCUUUGUCCGGUUACGCCCCCCUCAUGGGGGACACACACCUACUUUCGA
rnacentral:misc_RNA from 1 species